rnacentral:rRNA from 1 species
ACCGGCGCACGGGUGCGUAACGCGUAUGCAAUCUACCUUUUACAGAGGGAUAGCCCAGAGAAAUUUGGAUUAAUACCUCAUAGUAUGUGAGAAUCGCAUGGUUUUCACAUUAAAGUUCCAACGGUAAAAGAUGAGCAUGCGUCCCAUUAGCUAGAUGGUAAGGUAACGGCUUACCAUGGCAACGAUGGGUAGGGGUCCUGAGAGGGAGAUCCCCCACACUGGUACUGAGACACGGACCAGACUCCUACGGGAGGCAGCAGUGAGGAAUAUUGGACAAUGGGCGCAAGCCUGAUCCAGCCAUGCCGCGUGCAGGAUGACGGUCCUAUGGAUUGUAAACUGCUUUUGUACAGGAAGAAACACUCCCUCGUGAGGGAGCUUGACGGUACUGUAAGAAUAAGGAUCGGCUAACUCCGUGCCAGCAGCCGCGGUAAUACGGAGGAUCCAAGCGUUAUCCGGAAUCAUUGGGUUUAAAGGGUCCGUAGGCGGUUUAAUAAGUCAGUGGUGAAAGCCCAUCGCUCAACGGUGGAACGGCCAUUGAUACUGUUAAACUUGAAUUAUUAGGAAGUAACUAGAAUAUGUAGUGUAGCGGUGAAAUGCUUAGAGAUUACAUGGAAUACCAAUUGCGAAGGCAGGUUACUACUAAUGGAUUGACGCUGAUGGACGAAAGCGUGGGUAGCGAACAGGAUUAGAUACCCUGGUAGUCCACGCCGUAAACGAUGGAUACUAGC